rnacentral:lncRNA from 1 species
GCCGAUGUAUGGAAGAAGGAGAUCGAUUGAACGGAGAUCGAGACAAGGAGUGGCGAUGGAUCAACGGAAGGCGGACGAUAGACGACGGGCGGACUCGAUGGAGCGAGCUUACAGUGGCAGCGUAGGAUGAGGAAAACCUCGGAGGCGAUGACCUUGGAGCGGAGCGGAGACUGAAACUGUGGCGGCAGCGGCAAGCGCGUGGGCCGCGUUUGGUACCACUAGCGGUGGCGGAGGAAGGCCAAAGAGCGGAGACGGUGUGGUCAAGAUGAUUGGGGCUCGCCGGAGCCUCGCCGGAUUCUGGAGACGGGAUCGCCGGCGGCGCCAGUGUUCGCAGAAGCAGAGGUUGAAGGAGAGGAAGCUUACUUGGUCGCCGUCACCUAGAGGUUGAAGGAGAGUGGCGAGGAAGUUAUGGGAGAUCGACCAGGAUCGAAGGAGGAUUCGGCCGGGAGUAUCGCAAGGUGAAGCGAUGGCGAUUGCGGCGUUGGAUUAGAGGGGGGGUUCCGCGGCCGACGGCCUUAGAUCGAGGGAGAAGCCUUCUCCCCCAUGCGAAUCGGCUGGCGGGAGAGUCGAAAGCGGGGGGGAGAAAAGGGCGGUAGAGUCAAAGGCGAGGGGAAGAAGCGGAUUCCAAGAUUCAUGGAAAGCUCGACGGAUUGAAUCGGGUCACCGGCGACGACCUCUGUAAUCACAGAAGCAGAGGUUAGGGAAGAGUGAUCACCUAGCGAAUUAUGGAAGAUAAGUGACCAGUUUGCAAUACCUGUAAAGUUAGAGGUGCUGGACUGAACAGUACUUCCUGGAAAGUAGGAUGACUGGGUUAUAGUUAUCUGUUUUCUAGGGAUGGAAUCUGCAAGGAUCAGAAUCCGAGGACUGAACUGGACAUUUAUGGACAGCUGGGCAGCAAAAUGACAGAAUCGCCCCUGGAAGUUUCAGCAAGUGGCAAAGAAGUAAACGGAGCACAACUCGAUCGUUUGAGCUCAGAACGACGCACCGUCUGGGGCUGUGGUUUCGUGGCAGCAGGAGGUAUCAUCUCAGAGAUAUUUCUGAGAUGUCGGCUCGCCAAUGAGGUGGAUUGGUUUAAGGGGGUAAUAUCUUGUCGUUGCAGUAGGUUAGAUUACGUCAGCUAAUUUGAUGCAUUUAGUUUAUGCCAUGAUUCCAUGCUUGAGUGUUUAUUUGUGACAUGUUAUUACUUUGAUGUGGUGCAAGUUAUGCCUCCUAUAUAACUAUAAGACUAGACCAAUGAUAAUGUUAAC